rnacentral:rRNA from 1 species
GACGAACGCUGGCGGCGUGCUUAACACAUGCCAGUCGAACGGUGAAGCGCUUUCCUUUUUGGUUGGUGUGGAUGAGUGGCGAACGGGUGAGUAACACGUGAGUAACCUGCCCCCUUCUUCUGGAUAACCGCAUGAAAGUGUGGCUAAUACGGGAUAUUCUGCGCCUGCUGCAUGGUGGGUGUGGGAAAGAUUGUGCCUUUGGGUGUUUUCGGUGGGGGAUGGGCUCGCGGCCUAUCAGCUUGUUGGUGGGGUGAUGGCCUACCAAGGCGGUGACGGGUAGCCGGCCUGAGAGGGUGGACGGUCACACUGGGACUGAGACACGGCCCAGACUCCUACGGGAGGCAGCAGUGGGGAAUAUUGCACAAUGGGCGCAAGCCUGAUGCAGCGACGCCGCGUGAGGGAGGGAGGCCUUCGGGUUGUGAACCUCUUUCGCCAGUGAAGCAGGCCUGCUCCUUGUGGGUGGGUUGACGGUAGCUGGAUAAGAAGCGCCGGCUAACUACGUG